rnacentral:rRNA from 1 species
UCGAACCCUGCAAAGCAGAACGACCUGUGAACAUGUAAAUACAACUUGGUGCUGUUGAGAUGGGCCUUAGGUUCUGAUCAGCAACAUCAUCCGGUCUGUUUCUAUGGUAUCUCUUUUGUAGUACCAUGGAUGUCCCAUCGGACUAUAACAAACCCCGGCACGGCAUGUGCCAAGGAAAACAAAAUAUGAGAAGGUAUCUACUUGAUUUGCCCCGUUUUGCGGUGUGCAUGCAGGUGGUUGCCUCCCUAAAAACACUAACGACUCUCGGCAACGGAUAUCUCGGCUCAUGCAUCGAUGAAGAACGUAGCAAAAUGCGAUACUUGGUGUGAAUUGCAGAAUCCCGUGAACCAUCGAGUUUUUGAACGCAAGUUGCGCCCGAAGCCAUCCGGUCGAGGGCACGCCUGCCUGGGUGUCACGCAUCGCGUCGCUCCCUGCCAAACAUCCUGAGAGGGUAAUCAUGGUGAUGGGGGCGGAAAAUGGCCUCCCGUUCUUGUGUCCGGUUGGCCUAAAGAAGAGUCUUCUUAUGGUGGAUGCACAACUAGUGGUGGUUGAAAAGACCUUCGUCUUGUGUUGUGUGUCGUCAGUUGUGAGGGAAGCUCUCAUUUUAGACCCCACURUAUUGUUAAAAAAUGAUAUAUCGAC